CUUCACUCGCCAAACUCCGAAUGCCGGUAAGUGAGAGCGUGGCAGUGAGACUGCGGGGGAGUAAGCUCCGUAGUCGAGAGGGGAAACAGCCCAGAUCACCAGCUAAGGUCCCUAAGCGUGUGCUAAGUGGAAAAGGAUGUGGAGUUGCCGUGACAACCAGGAGGUUGGCUUAGAAGCAGCCACCCUUUAAAGAGUGCGUAAUAGCUCACUGGUCAAGUGAUUCCGCGCCGACAAUGUAGCGGGGCUCAAGCACACCACCGAAGCUGUGGCAUUGACACACUGCUCGGCACCCUUGUGGUGUCCAGGCGUGUUGAUAGGUAGGGGAGCGUCGUGUGGCGAGUGAAG
rnacentral:rRNA from 1 species